rnacentral:rRNA from 1 species
CGUCCCAGUUCGGAUUGUAGUCUGCAACCCGACUACACGAAGCCGGAAUCGCUAGUAAUCGCGGAUCAGCAUGCCGCGGUGAAUACGUUCCCGGGCCUUGUACACACCGCCCGUCACACCAUGAGAGUUUGUAACACCCAAAGCCGGUGGGGUAACCUUUUGGAGCCAGCCGUCUAAGGUGGGACAGAUGAUUAGGGUGAAGUCGUAACAAGGUAUC